GGCUCCCCAACCCCCGCAGCCCCGGGGAGCCGCACCCCGACUUUUCAAGCCUGGGGCCCGCCCGAUCCCCGGGACGCGAACAUCUCGAGCACGUGGGGCGGGGUGGGGGGAGCUGCCUGGGAACCGAGGCCGCAGGUGCCCGGGGGACCCUGGGGACCGCGGGUGGCAGCGCAAGGGCGCAUUCCAGGGAGCCGGCUCGGCGCCGCGCGCCCCGCCCGAGUUGGUGCGGUGAUGCAAGUUUGCUGUGGGCUCUGCACUUAGCGGAGUUGACGGAGGUGGCUCCGGACGCGGGGGCUCCCAGAGGAGGUGACACGAGGCUCCGCUCAACUGCUCCGCUGCCAGGGGACAGGCACCUGCCCCACGCCUUGUUGCAUUUUUGGAAAAGUAGGAUCGCAGGAAAGGUGGUCGGAGCCCCGCGAUGAUGGGCCAGCAGUAUCACAGGACGCUUCCCUCCAGGAGAUGUGGCCUUGUCCUGGAUCAAGGGAGGGGGCGCGAGGCAAUCUUCAGGAGCUCCAGAUGGGUGGGAGGGCAGGUUGAGGCCAGGUACUGCCCCUGGGCAGGUGGCCCUGCAGGUGACAAGAACUAGGAGAAAGACUUCUGAGGGUCUCUCCCACCUCCUUGGCCUCAUGUCAGGAUCUGUGGGGGCAGCUGCAAGACUCAGAAUGACCAGGUGCCACAGCCGUGCACAGCUACACCCCCACUGAUCAGACCAUGGCCAAUACCUGCCUAGGUGGAUGCUAGGAAAAGGAGAGCCCACUUGGGGAGCUGAACUCUCCCCACACCAGAUCUCCACUGGGAAGGCCUAAAGUUCAUCGGUGGAAGCUAGAAAGUCUGUGCUAGCAGGAUGAAGGGUCUGUGCCAGCAGGGAUCUGCACUGGAACCAGGAAGUGAUGCUCAAAAUAAGGACCAGGGUCUCCAAAAAAGUACCACAGCCAGCCUCAGCAACAGAGAGGUUCUAAGCUUCUCCGAAAAUGAGGACAGCAGAAUACAGCCAGCAUGACAAGCUCCUUCAGGAGAUCCCACAGCAACAGAAGAACCAACAGCGCCUCUUCAUCCUCUCUAGGUCUCCUUUCUAUGUGGCUGACCUGACCAUCCUCAGGUGGGCCUCCAACACCCAGCAUCGCGCUGACCCAGUUCAGCUGGUGUUACACGGUGACCACCAGCUGUCAGUGCUCUCCACUAAGUGAAAGAGGCCGGGCUCACAAGGACAGGUACUGUAGGAUUCCACGGACAAGAGUUUCGUCAUUUCUGCUUGCUGAGGAGUCUGCGCUCUCUCUGCCACCCAUCCUGAGCUCCGAUGUCGCACAGGGGACCAACAACCACGCCCCUGCAGGAGGGGUCCUCACAGCGGCCAACAAUGCUUGCGGCUAAGGACAGACUCUGGUGGUGUCCAGCCUCUGUCCAACUCUGCAGAGGACAAGAAGUCACUUGAGAGCCCCGGUUCCCUAAAAUGUCCCCAGGAACUUCCGACCCGGCUUGGCGCUAUGUCUCCUAAGCCCACAGCUGCAAAACUGAUUCAUAAGGCUUGUUUUUCUUGGUGUGAUUUUUAAAGAACAAAGUGUAAAUCCGA